GAUGAACGCUGGCGGCGUGCCUAAUACAUGCAAGUCGAGCGAACAGAUGAGGAGCUUGCUCCUCUGACGUUAGCGGCGGACGGGUGAGUAACACGUGGAUAACCUACCUAUAAGACUGGGAUAACUACGGGAAACCGGAGCUAAUACCGGAUAAUAUAUUGAACCGCAUGGUUCAAUAGUGAAAGACGGUUUUGCUGUCACUUAUAGAUGGAUCCGCGCCGCAUUAGCUAGUUGGUAAGGUAACGGCUUACCAAGGCAACGAUGCGUAGCCGACCUGAGAGGGUGAUCGGCCACACUGAAACUGAGACACGGUCCAGACUCCGACGGGAGGCAGCAGGAGGGAAUCUUCCGCAAUGGGCGAAAGCCUGACGGAGCAACGCCGCGUGAGUGAUGAAGGUCUUCGGAUCGUAAAACUCUGUUAUUAGGGAAGAACAAAUGUGUAAGUAACUAUGCACGUCUUGACGGUACCUAAUCAGAAAGCCACGGCUAACUACGU
rnacentral:rRNA from 1 species